GAAAAAAGUGCCCAAAAGUGAUGGUCAACCGGUAUAUUGGUGUUUUCUGGUAGGUCUUGGAUAGUUCAUUCCUCUAGGAAUACCACUGAAGCUUGUCUAGUGUUCUGUCAACUUGGCUACAGGAUGGAUAGGAAACCCUGUCGCGUUACACAGUUUGCGUAUUGAAACCCCAGGACCAUUGUUGACAGAGUGCGAGGCACUGUAUACACGUAAUUCAUAACACCUAGAAAAUGUCUUGUCUGUAGAUGUCAAGUGAACAAACUAGUGGUGCUUACACAGGGCCCGAAGGUCACGAAAACAACAAGCACCACGAAAAUAACAAGCACCAUGAAAACAACAAGCACAACGAAAGUAACAAGCUCCAUGAAAAUAACAAGCACCAUGAAAGUAACAAGUAUCACAAAGUAACAAGCACCACGAAAGUAACAAGCAUCACGAAAGUAACAAGCACCAUGAAGUCGAAGAUAGUCGGGCAUAGAAACCUUCCGCAUGCACAAAGGAAUGACGUGCCACCCUUCGCAGAAAAAAAGCACAAAUAACUUAUAUAACUAUUUAUAUAACUAAUUUGAAAUAAAUAUUUAAAAACGUU
rnacentral:lncRNA from 1 species